rnacentral:rRNA from 1 species
CGGCAACAGCUCAAAUUUGAAAUCUGGCGUCUUCGACGUCCGAGUUGUAAUUUGUAGAUUGUAUCUUGAGAGCGGAUUAAAGUCUGUUGGAACACAGCGCCUUAGAGGGUGACAGCCCCGUAAAAUCUAUUCUCAUUGUAAGAUACUUUCGAA